rnacentral:rRNA from 1 species
AACGCUGGCGGCAGGCUUAACACAUGCAAGUCGAACGCCCCGCAAGGGGAGUGGCAGACGGGUGAGUAACGCUGGGAAUCUACCCAGUUCUACGGAACAACACAGGGAAACUUGUGCUAAUACCGUAUACGCCCCAAGGGGGAAAGAUUUAUCGGAAUUGGAUGAGCCCGCGUUGGAUUAGCUGGUUGGUGAGGUAACGGCUCACCUAAGGCGACGAUCCAUAGCUGGUCUGAGAGGAUGAUCAGCCACACUGGGACUGAGACACGGCCCAGACUCCUACGGGAGGCAGCAGUGGGGAAUAUUGGACAAUGGGCGAAAGCCUGAUCCAGCCAUGCCGCGUGAGUGAUGAAGGCCUUAGGGUUGUAAAGCUCUUUCAGUGGGGAAGAUAAUGACGGUACCCACAGAAGAAGCCCCGGCUAACUUCGUG